rnacentral:rRNA from 1 species
AGGGCACCACCAGGAGUGGAGCCUGCGGCUUAAUUUGACUCAACACGGGAAAACUUACCUGGUCCUGACACUAGAAGGAUUGACAGAUUGAUAGCUCUUUCUUGAUUUGGUGGAUGGUGGUGCAUGGCCGUUCUUAGUUGGUGGAGUGAUUUGUCUGGUUAAUUCCGAUAACGAACGAGACUCUAGCCUAUUAAAUAACACGCAGAAUCUUGUCUUCUGCGGUGUUUCUUAAUGGGAUCAAGUGUGUUUAACGCUUUGAAACAGAGCAAUAACAGGUCUGUGAUGCCCUUAGAUGUUCGGGGCUGCACGCGCGCUACAUUGAAAGACAAAAUGAGCCUUCUAGUUUUUAAUAAAGCUAGUAAUCUUUGAAUGUUUUUCUUAAUGGGGAUAGGGGAUUGCAAUUGUGCCCCUUGAACGAGGAAUUCCCAGUAAGUGCUAAUCAUUAGUUAGUACUGAUUACGUCCCUGCCCUUUGUGCACACCGCCCGUCGCUACUACCGAUUGAAUGGUUUAGUGAGAU